GACGAACGCUGGCGGCAUGCCUAAUACAUGCAAGUCGAGCGGAGUAAGGUGGAACUUGUUCCACCGAGCUUAGCGGCGGACGGGUGAGUAACACGUAGGCAACCUGCCCUCAAGCUUGGGACAACUACCGGAAACGGUAGCUAAUACCGAAUAGUUGCUUUCUUCACCUGAAGGGAGCUGGAAAGACGGAGCAAUCUGUCACUUGAGGAUGGGCCUGCGGCGCAUUAGCUAGUUGGUGAGGUAACGGCUCACCAAGGCGACGAUGCGUAGCCGAGCUGAGAGGGUGAUCGGCCACACUGGGACUGAGACACGGCCCAGACUCCUACGGGAGGCAGCAGUAGGGAAUCUUCCGCAAUGGGCGAAAGCCUGACGGAGCAAUGCCGCGUGAGUGAUGAAGGUUUUCGGAUCGUAAAGCUCUGUUGCCAGGGAAGAACGUCCUUAAGAGUAACUGCUUAAGGAGUGACGGUACCUGAGAAGAAAGCCCCGGCUAACUACGUGCCAGCCGCCGCGGUAAUAC
rnacentral:rRNA from 1 species